rnacentral:rRNA from 1 species
GACGAACGCUGGCGGCGUGCUUAACACAUGCAAGUCGAACGGACAGGCCCUGCUUUUGUGGGGUGCUCGAGUGGCGAACGGGUGAGUAACACGUGAGUAACCCCCCCUUGACUUUGGGAUAACUUCAGGAAACUGGGGCUAUUAUCGGAUAGGAGCUCCUGCUGCACGGUGGGGGUUGGAAAGUUUCGGCGGUUGGGGAUGGACUGGCUGCUUACCAGCUUGUUGGUGGGGUAGUGGCUUACCAAGCCUUUGACGGGUAGCCGGCCUGAGAGGGUGACCGGCCUCAUGGGGACUGAGAUACGGCCCAGAAUCCUACGGGAGGCAACAGUGGGGAAUAUUGCACAAUGGGCGGAAGCGUGAUGCAGCAGCGCCGCGUGCGGGAUAACGGCCUUCGGGUUGUAAACAGCUUUCGACUGUGACGAAGAGUGAUUGACGGUAAUGGGUAAAGAAGCACCGGCUAACUACGUG